UCUUUUUCCGAUGCGCUGCUUAAUAUUAUUUCUUGGUUUUGUUAUAUUUGGGCUUUCUUAUGCGGGAACUCUUCUUUUUAAAGGAAAGAAAAGAGAACUAUACCAGCAGAAGUCUCUAAAGUUGUUUGGAUUUAUGUGGGUCGCCUCGUGGACGGGCGUCAUUAAAUAUCAUGGGAAAUGUCCAGCUCGGAAAGUCAACCAAAUAUUCGUAGCCAAUCACACGUCGCUGAUUGACUUGAUUCUUCUCUUAAAUGACCGAAUCUUUUGUGUGGUUGGUCAAAAACAUUCAGGCUUUGUUGGUUUUCUACAAAACUACAUUCUGAGCUGCAUGUCUAACUUGUGGUUCGAUCGCAUGGCCCAAAAAGACCGUCAACUUGUCUCUCGGAAAAUCAAAGAGCAUAUAUUAGACGAAUCAAAACCGCCCCUUAUUGUGUUUCCCGAA